ensembl:lncRNA
GAUCUAUAGAACAUUGUAAUGUUGUUUAUUUAGUGAUGUUAUUCAAUGUUAAAGGAAAUACUGUAACUUGGAAAGUAUACCCACGACAUGUAUGGAGUUUCCAUACUAUGUGUUGUGCAUGUAAUAUGAAAAAUAAUUUGUGUUUUUAAGAGGGAUGUGACUUGAAAGCUAAGAGACAAUUGUUUUUAUAACUGUGCACAAUAAGUUGUCACCAACCAUGAGUGAGGUCAGAGAGUGUCAUCCUGCCAAAAGAGUCCCUUUCCUGCAAACUCUAUAAAUGAUGGGGGGUUAAGAAAUUAACAUACCAGACUAGAAAAAUGUGUAGCUGCAGCAAAAGUGGUUUGAACUUUGAGUCUCAACGAGGUAGAGACAAAAAAAAAAAAAAUCACCUCCCAGACAAUCACUGGUAUGGCUGAUUAGCAGUCCUAAGUAAAGUAUCUUCGAAAGGAAAUUUAAGUAGGAACGUUCUGUUACUCUGCUCAAACCAUCGUAUUACACUACUCAUCACCUCACUGGGAAGCCAUCGAUACGGUUGGCUAGCCUAUCUUCAAGGAAUCAUCUUCAAGAGUGAAUGGAAGGAAAGUAAACUCUGUAGUACUGUUCAAGACUACACAAGUCAUCAGAUACCGGACAACUACAGAGAAGGACAACAAGACUUGUUGAAACCAUUUUGGACAAUCAGAGCCUUACAAGCGUGCCACAAAAAGGCUCAACUCCCUUUCCAAGGCUGCCCUGUUCACCGAGAGAGAUCCACAGCGAAGCCAGGGAUUUCAUGUAAAUGCAUUCAUGAUUACUUACUCAAAGCGGGCGGUGGUUUGUGUGCAAAGUAUAUACUUACUGUAGGUGAGUAGUUUCUGAAUGUACCAAUGUUAAGUGUCUCUGUCCCUCCAUCACGUUUGAAACAAGCAGCCAUGUUGUCAUUCCUUUUGGGACCUGUUAUAACGCAUUUAGUCUCCAGUCAAUAACCACAGCAGUGUGUUUCUCCUGUGUUACGGUUUUCUUCCAUCGAAGGAGAGUCGGA